CCAUGGAGAUAAUGUCCUUCUGUGAGCACCACCCACCUGGGAAUUGGCUCACCCAGUGACUACGAAAAGGGUCGCUCUGCCACAACUGUGCUUUGCGCCGUGGCCACCUCGCUACUUGCAGGUGUUUAUCCCCUUUCAAUACACCAUCUGUGGUGUUCCCAACAUCGUCAUCGGAAAGGCUGAGGCUGCAUGUAUAACUGGAGUAUUAAUGACCGGGUUCGCAAUUUUAUAAAUUGAACCACCAAGGAAGCCACGUAACAACAAAGAAUGAAAGACUUCAAAUCUCUCACGCUCUCUUGCUCCCUCUCUGUCCUCGUUUUCCCAGUACCUGUCGGUACAAACCAAAAUAUCCUGGUUUAACACUUUUCAAGAUCAUAAGAAGCAAUUUAAUCUUAUAUGAUCUAUAUCUCUUCAACCAUCAUUUAAUUUCUCAGAGUCAAAAGAAUCAGUCAAAUCACAGGAAGAAAUCAUGAAAACAUGUUGGCUGGCAACAGUUAUAAUAGUGAAAAGUAGUGGAUCAUGCAAAGUUUCAUUUAUCCAUUCUUCAAAUAAAGAGAUAAAUAGAAAAUUA